UACGUAGGGUCCGAGCGUUGUCCGGAAUUAUUGGGCGUAAAGAGCUCGUAGGCGGUUUGUCGCGUCUGCUGUGAAAUCCCGAGGCUCAACCUCGGGUCUGCAGUGGGUACGGGCAGACUGGAGCGCGGUAGGGGAGAAUGGAAUUCCUGGUGUAGCGGUGGAAUGCGCAGAUAUCAGGAGGAACACCGAUGGCGAAGGCAGUUCUCUGGGCCGUAACUGACGCUGAGGAGCGAAAGCGUGGGGAGCGAACAGG
rnacentral:rRNA from 1 species